UCAAUAAUAAUAAAAGUUUAACUAACUGGACCCGUGAAAAUUCAUGGAAAACAUGAAAAAUGUAAGCAUCUGUAAACAGUGUACUGGUGCCAUGAGAAAUGUUUGUAUAUUAUGACCGUCUGCUUUUACGUUCUGAGUUCAAGUUCUGCCGAGGUCGACUUUGCCUUUCGUCCUUUCGAGAUCGAUAAAUUAAGUACCAGUUGCGUAUUGGGGUCGAUCUAAUCAACUGGCCCCCUCCCCACAAAAAUUUCAGGCCUAGAAAAGUAUAUUGUGAUAGUCACAGAAUAUAGAAAGUAAUGUAACAGCAAUGACUAUAUAAUCCGACCAAAAUAUCUCUGUUACACAAACGUAAAUGGAAUUACUAUUUAACCUUAAAAUACAUCGUACAUAUUCAAAGAACCUUCUUGGUUUAGUGGUACGGAACGUCUUUCUGGUAUUCUUUUAUUCUUUUACCUGUUUCAGUCAUUUGACGGUGGCCAUGCUGGAG